GCCAUGACGCAGUGGCUAGCGUGUCGUUCUUAUAUUUGUGCUUCGUGCACUUAUAUGGCUUUAUAAUAAGCAAUGCGAAAGUCGCGAGUUCGACCCUCGCUGGGUACG